AUGUUGCCCAGGGGACGCCCGGAUGUUUUGAUGUUUUUACCAUCCUUGUGGGAGGCUUCUCUCAUGUCCCCGCAUGGACGUUGCCCAGGGGACGCCCGGAUGUUUUUGAUGUUUUUACCAUCCUUGUGGGAGGCUUCUCUCAUGUCCCCACAUGGAGCUGGAGCUGAUAGAGGGAGCUCAUCCACGCUCUCCCCGGGUGGGAUUCGAACCUGGCAGCUUUCAGGUCAGCAACCCAACCUUCAAGUCACGAGGCUUAUAUCCCCUAGACCACCGGAGGCUCCUAAUAUAAUAUUAUUAUAAUAUAAUAAUAUUAAUUAUAUAUUAUAUUUUACAUGUAAUAUUACUAAUAAUAUUACAAUAUAUUGAUACAGUGCAAUAUAGUAAUUUAUUACCAGUAUUGUACUAUGCUAAUAAUAUAAUACUGUAUGUAAAUUUAAUUUGUAAGCUGCUCUGAGUCCCCUUCGGGGUGAGAAGGGCAGCAUAGAAAUGUAGCAAAUAAAUAAAUAAAUAAAUAUAAAUAGUUAAUAAUAAUUUGAGAAAUAAACAUUCUAUUAUGCAGUAAUAAUUUGGUUAGAUUACCCCCCCCCCCAAAAAAAACCCAAAAAACCUGGCAGUAAUUGCCCUUCAAUGAAGUAGACUUGAUGUUUGUGAACUCUCCCAAGAUAUUUAGCUGCCUGAGACAAAGAUGAAAUAGCGGUCACCAUCCCAUCCUCUUUCACAUGCAAAGCCAACAGGACUGGCCACCUGAGAGAUACAACUCUGUCCUUAGAAGAUUUCAUCUGCUUUCUCUUGUUGAUGUUGGAGAAAGUUUUAAACUUGGUCUAGUCCUGGGUUCCACCCUUGCGAGGACUAUGGCAUUAGACCAGAGAGAUAUGUAAAGCCCUUGGUCACAUGCUGUCAUUUGAGUUGUGUUCUCCCUGUGUGAUGUUUAUAUACCAUUAGCACAUAUACCCAGCAUUGUCCAGGUAUCGUUGGGACCACACACCCCUUCCCUCAUAUCUUUUCUGCUUUCCUUUCUCUUCCUUCUUUCACUUUCUCCUUUUUCUUUCUUCCUCCUCCCUUUCUUCUUCUUUCUUUCUUUUUUCUUUCCUUCCAUUUCCCUUUCUUCCUUCUCUAGCUUUGCGUGGCCUAUCUCACAAUGUGUCUAAUGGCAACAUGGAUCUCUUUGUGGCUCCUUCCUUCCCUUCUCAUUUCCUUCCUCCCUCCAUCUCCGCAAACACGCCACCUUUCUUUCCCAGUGACAUCACAGAGGGCUACUUCAGCUAGCAACAGACAAUUCUUUCCCUAGCAGUAGCCAAUCCAGUGAUAUCACAGAGGGCCACAUCACCUAGCAACAGCUGUUGAUUUGGCUUUAUAUUGACAUACAGAUAAACAGAUGCAUGCUUCAACAUA
rnacentral:lncRNA from 1 species